rnacentral:tRNA from 3 species
GCGGGGGUGCCCGAGCUAGGACAAAGGGGGCGGACUUAAGAUCCGCUGGCGUAGGCCUGCCCGGGUUCGAAUCCCGGCCCCCGCACCA